rnacentral:rRNA from 1 species
AACGUAGGGGGCGAGCGUUGUCCGGAAUUACUGGGCGUAAAGAGCUCGUAGGCGGUAGUUCAAGUCAGGUGUGAAAUCCGACGGCUUAACCGGAGGACUGCACCUGAUACUGGGCUGCUAGAGGGAAGGAGAGGAAGGUGGAAUUCCAUGUGUAGCGGUGAAAUGCGUAGAUAUAUGGAGGAACACCGGUGGCGAAAGCGGCUCUCUGGACUGUAACUGACACUGAGGCUCGAAAGCGUGGGUAGCAAACAGG